rnacentral:lncRNA from 1 species
UGUAUAAAUCAUUUUUGGAGUUAUUAACGAGGCAUUAAUUGACCUAAGAAAUUAAGCCUAUUGUGAAGUAAAGAAACUGACAUAGCCUGUAAGAACAUAUAUGGUUUAAGGGUUGGACAAUCAUUUAACCAUGAAAGUUAAAGGUCAAUUAAUUGGACCUUGAGAUCAACGGUAAAUGUCAUAAUGAUAUUAAAAUAGAGAAUGGAAAUGGGAAAUGUAUCAAAGAAUGUAUCAAAGAGACAACAACCCGACCAUAGAAAAAACAACAGCAGAAGGUCACCAACAGGUCUUCAAUGUAACGAGAAAUUCCCGCACCCGGAGUUGUCCUUCAGCUGGCCCCUAAACAAAUAUAUACUAGUUCAGUGAUGAUGAAUGCCAUACCUAAUUUCCAAAUUGUACACAAGAAACUAAAAUUAAAAAAUACAAGUCUAACAAAUACCAGAGGCUCCUGACUUGGGACAGGCGCGAAAAUGCGGCGGGGUUA